rnacentral:rRNA from 1 species
UACGAAGGGUGCAAGCGCUACUCGGAAUUACUGGGCGUAAAGCGUGCGUAGGCGGUUUGUUAAGUCUGUCGUGAAAGCCCUGGGCUCAACCUGGGAAUUGCGAUGGAUACUGGCAAGCUAGAGUACGGUAGAGGAUGGUGGAAUUCCCGGUGUAGCGGUGAAAUGCGUAGAGAUCGGGAGGAACACCCGUGGCGAAGGCGGCCAUCUGGACCAGUACUGACGCUGAGGCACGAAAGCGUGGGGAGCAAACAGG